GUCUGCUAAAUGGGAAUGCUAACACUCGCGACGCACGAGGGCUUCUAUGGGAUCAAAUGACUUGAUGUCAGUGCAGGGUGACUUUCAGUGUGCUGUAUCUUUUCAGGAGGACCCGGCAGCCCUACUGCAGCACCCAGAGGAGGGACCUCAGAAGGUACAGAGGGCUUCCCAAGAGCACCUGGCGGUGAGAAGACAAGUGGAGACUCAACGGCCCCAGGCACCACGUUGGGAGGCAGACCAGGUGCUGCUGGAGGUCCAGUUUCCACGACCCUGUAUGCUGGCAGCAUAGGCAGCACCAGAAUGGGCCCGACCUUCACCAGCCCUGGGCGCGAAGCA